GAAAUGCGCAGAUAUUAGGAGGAAUACCGGUGGCGAAGGCGACUUUCUGGCCAUAAACUGACGCUGAGGUACGAAAGCGUGGGUAGCAAACAGGAUUAGAUACCCUGGUAGUCCACGCCGUAAACGAUGAGUGUUAGGUGUCUGGAAAAAUCUGGGUGCCGCAGCUAACGCAAUAAACACUCCGCCUGGGGAGUACGCACGCAAGUGUGAAACUCAAAGGAAUUGACGGGGACCCGCACAAGCAGCGGAGCAUGUGGUUUAAUUCGACGCAACGCGAAGAACCUUACCAAGUCUUGACAUAUUACGGCGGGGUCUAGAGAUAGACUCUUAUCGCUUCGGCGAACUGUAAUACAGGUGGUGCAUGGUUGUCGUCAGCUCGUGUCGUGAGAUGUUGGGUUAAGUCCCAUAACGAGCGCAACCCCUAUUGUUAGUUACCAUCAUUAAGUUGGGGACUCUAGCAAUACUGCCGGUGACAAACCGGAGGAAGGUGGGGAUGACGUCAAAUCAUCAUGCCCUUUAUGACUUGGGCUACACACGUGCUACAAUGGCAGGUACAGAGGGAAGCGAGACUGCGAAGUUAAGCAAAACUCAAAAAGCCUGUCCCAGUUCGGAUUGCACUCUGCAACUCGAGUGCAUGAAGUUGGAGUUGCUAGUAAUCGCAGAUCAGAAUGCUGCGGUGAAUGCGUUCCCGGGUCUUGUACACACCGCCCGUCACACCAUGGAAGUUGGCAAUACCCGAAGCCUGUGAGCUAACCUUUUAGGGAGCAGCAGUCGAAGGUAGGGUCAGUA
rnacentral:rRNA from 1 species